UUUCCUCUUCUCUUCGUCUUCUUUGUUCGCGGUCGCCCUAAAUCUCUCACAUGAACCUUCUCUUCGUCUUCUCUUGGUCGCCCUCUGUCGUUUUCGUCGGUUUGCACCCCACCGUUUACCUAGUCGUCAACAUUUAGAUUCACCAUCGUUCUCCCUUCGUCGGUGUUCGUGCAAUCAACGCCUAUCGUGCGAGGUCGUUCUAUUUCGCGUUUCUUCCAGUUGUCGUUGCACCCAAACUCGUACCUUUUAUUUUUAUCAAAUUUAGUUUUCGUUCCUCCAAGCCCCACCCACCCUCAUUCGAUCCUCUCUUCCAAUCAAUCUCUCCCCACAUUCACUCUUCGAUGAUUUCAUUCACGCACAAGGUUUUCAUUCGUGUCGAAGCAGGUUGCCUAUACAUGAAGCGUAAUGGUGUGUUUCAAGCGAAUGGUACAUUUUUGAAAUUUCAGCACUCAUAAUAUCUUCCUCUUUUUUAAAGCUACAACCGGAUAACACUGUCGUUCGUCGGGGUAUGGAUAGUAUCGGAGAUCACUACUUGAAUUCCUUAGGGACCGACAUUUUCAUUGGAGAAGACCUAGACUGGUCUUUACCAUUUCUCUAUUUCUCUGUUUCUCUAUUUCUCUCUCUUUUGAAAAUGUUGAUGAUGUGUGUUAUGUAAUGAGAGAUGUAGAGAUUGUUUCUUUUUCUUUUCUUUAACUGGAAUUUGACAUUGGUGUGCUUUUGUUGAAGACAAUUGAGGAUUCGAAAAGCCGCUUUUUGGUUAUUAUGAUUCCAGUUUGCCGGAUGGAUCAGCUGCUUCCAACAAUAUAAUAUAGAAAAGGAAUAGAAGCAGGAAGGUUAACGAUGAGGGAAAGCUCUCUUAAUUGAUAAUUUUUGUUUCUAAUUUGAUUUAAAUCAAUUUGCAGAACUACUUACAAAGGGUGAUGAGGUAGGAGUAAAGUUUCACUCUUAUGAUAAUUUUUUUUUUUGUUUAUAAGAAGUAGCGAGGAAGUGUGUUUUAAGAAUUAAAUGUCUGAAAAUGAAGGCUGUUCAUCUGUUGUAUUUUUCUUUUUUUUUUUUUUUUUUGCGCACAUGUUUUAGCAUUUCAUCAGUUACUGCUUGGUUAUAUAAUUAUGUUCUUAUUGUUUCAAAGCUAUUGUAGGGAAGGCAGAGAGAAGUGACAUCCCUAGCAUUGAUAAGAAAAGAACUAGAAGGGCUUUGACAUAGAUGUGAAGAAGUUGGAACAAUUGGAUUAUUUUGACUUGGGACUGUGUAUGAUUUCAAAAAAAUUUUGAAGGACUGAAACACACUUGAAGAAGAAGUUCGCCAGGAUAUUAGACAAGUCUGUUUGUACGCUGCUCUACUGAAUGUUUAUUAAUAGUAUUAUAUUUUGUAAAGUAUAUAUUGUGAUGGGGUUUGAUUACUACUCUGCCCAUGUUUUAUCCAUCUUUUACUUUAUUUUACAUGGCAAAUAAAGGAUGAAAUACUAGUCAUGAAAGAUUUAUUUUUAAAAUUUUUUAUUUAAUUUUAUGGAGAGAGAAGGCCUAGAAGGUGUUUGAUAAAAUGUGUGAAUAGAGAAAAAGGUGAAAAAUAGUGAAGAACAAGGCUUGGUUAUUGCCGUUGUGCUCCACACUCUUCAAUAGUAUCAGAUGGUACAUUUUACUUAUUCCCAAGGAAUUAUAUUGAUUAGUAUCAGAUGGAUGCAUUUUGCUGUGUCUUGAAUUUUUUUUAAGAAACUGCUAUAAACAGGGUUGAUUUUCAUUCUUAUGAAUCAAUUUAAUACAGGAGUGUGAAUGGAGGUUACUGGUCAUGGAUUUUUCCUAAAUACCAUUGUAACGCCCCAACAAUUUGGAACUUAAUUUAUCGUCUUAAGUGUAAUUAUGGGAACACUGGAAGUAAUUGAGGAACUUGAUUAUUUUGACUUUGUGUUUAAUUAAGAUUUAGAGUUAUAUAAUUACCUUGUUUUUUAUAAUAAAAUUGGUAGAGUUAAAUGUGGAAAAUAAAUAUAAUUGGGGAAGGAGAGAGAGGAUUGAUUUUUUUGUUAAAGUUAAUGGUGAGAUAUUAUUUGGAAAAAGAAAGAGAAAGAGAAGGGAUUGAUGUAAUUGGUUGAAAUUGAAAGAGAGAGAUUUUGAUGGAUUUAAUGGAAGAAAGAGAGUGAGAUUUUUGGGGAAGAGAAAAGAUAAUAAUGAUGAUAAAGAAUUAUUAUUUUUGCAUUAAAUAGCCCACUAUUCAUCUUCCUCUUCAACCAAACCAAAAAGAAAAAAAAAACCCUAGCUUUAAAAGCGCCGCCGAAACCCUCCUCCCUCGCCGCCGCGCCGCGCCGUCCGCCCAAGCCUUCCGUCAAGCCUUCACUGUAAAUGAACCCGAAUAGAUCAGCCGAGCCGAUCGACACCCAUCCGAGCUGCCACUCUUCGCGUCUCCAAGCCGUCGGACCAACGCCACCAGCCGCCCGAAUCCGGAAGCCCGUGCGCCGCACCUCGUUCACGCGUAAACCCGACCCGAUCGCAUCUCCACCCCGCUCCCAAACGAAACGCCUGUCGGAUCGCAUCUCUUCCGCCUGUAAGCCAUCGCCGAGUGCCGCGUUCCGUCCCCGCCGUCACCCGAGCCGGAAACGCGACCCGCGCUUUCAGCUCCGCGCGAAUUAGAUCGAUCUGCAUCACCCUUUGCGACCCGAGUCGCGCCACACCUAUCAGCGCCGUAGCCAGGCCGCGCCUCUCCGCGUCGAGCCGCGCCUUCUGCCGCAAGCCGAGCCGACUCCAGCCUUCAAGCCGAGCCAAUUCCUGCUUUGCUAGCCGAGCCGAUUCCCCUGUCCUUGAGCUGUCAGCCUGCUCCGGUCCUUUGCACCUAUUUUGGUAAGUUA